rnacentral:rRNA from 1 species
AUUGAACGCUGGCGGCAGGCUUAACCCAUGCAAGUCGAACGAGUGGUGGACGGGUGAGUAAUGCUUGGGAAUCUAGCUUAUGGAGGGGGAUAACUACGGGAAACUGUAGCUAAUACCGCGUACCAUAGGAUGAGCCCAAGUGGGAUUAGGUAGUUGGUGAGGUAAAGGCUCACCAAUCCGACGAGCUCUAGCUGGUCUGAGAGGAUGCACAGCCACACUGGGACGGAGACACGGCCCAGAAGCCGACGGGAGGCAGCAGUGGGGAAUAUUGCGCAAUGGGGGCAACCUGACGCAGCCAUGCCGCGUGAAUGAAGAAGGCCUGCGGGUUGUAAAGUUCUUUCGGUAGCGAGGCGUUAACUACAGAAGAAGCACCGGCUAACUCCGUGCCAGCAGCCGCGGUAAUUC